GACGAACGCUGGCGGCGUGCCUAAUACAUGCAAGUCGAGCGAAGUUUUUCUGGUGCUUGCACUAGAAAACUUAGCGGCGAACGGGUGAGUAACACGUAAAGAACCUGCCUCAUAGACGGGGACAACUAUUGGAAACGAUAGCUAAUACCGGAUAACAGCAUAAAUCGCAUGAUAUAUGUUUAAAAGUUGGUUUCGGCUAACACUAUGAGAUGGCUUUGCGGUGCAUUAGCUAGUUGGUGGGGUAAAGGCCUACCAAGGCGACGAUGCAUAGCCGACCUGAGAGGGUGAUCGGCCACACUGGGACUGAGACACGGCCCAGACUCCUACGGGAGGCAGCAGUAGGGAAUCUUCCGCAAUGGG
rnacentral:rRNA from 1 species